UAAUACGUAGGUGGCAAGCGUUGUCCGGAUUUACUGGGCGUAAAGAGCGCGCAGGCGGUCGUUCAAGUCGCGUGUGAAAGCCCCCGGCUCAACUGGGGAGGGUCACGCGAUACUGAUCGACUCGAAGGCAGGAGAGGGUAGUGGAAUUCCCGGUGUAGUGGUGAAAUGCGUAGAUAUCGAGAGGAACACCGGUGGCGAAGGCGGCUUCCUGGCCCGUACCUGACGCUGAGGCGCGAAAGCGUGGGGAGCAAACAGGAUUAGAUACCCUGGUAGUCCACGCCCUAAACGAUGGGCACUAGGUGUGGGCGGUAUUAAUCCCGCCUGUGCCGUAGCUAACGCAUUAAGUGCCCCGCCUGGGGAGUACGGUCGCAAGGCUG
rnacentral:rRNA from 1 species